rnacentral:lncRNA from 1 species
AAAUACCUAUCACAAUAGAAAUAUCACAUUAAUGACUAAAACACCAAGCAAAGAACAUAUUGUUUCUUGUAAAACAGAAAGGUAAUCGGCGCCAGAGCGCAUCAUGAUAAGGUCCCAAAACACUCAACAGUGCAUCACAAUCAAAAUCCACCUGAUGUUCAAUUUGUGGCUGAAACUGAAUUUGAGAUUGAAAAAAGAGAAAGCAAAGCCUCAAUAGUCUCUCAUAGUUGAGAGAGAGAGAGAGAGAGUGAGUGACUAGUACUGGGAACGGGGAAGGAUCUAGUUGGGUAAGAGAGAAUUUUGAAGUUGGAAUAGGAAGGAGGUAAGGUCAAGGAAUUGGGGUCCCAUUAGAAGGGGGCAAUUCCAAUCCCUCGUGCAGUUGAAAUAUCAUAAUCUCUCUCUCUCUCUUUCUCUCCGUGAGCCUGUGAGGUUUCUUCUUUGUCAUCUUCCCCAUGUCCUUCCCUAAAGUUUUUGUAGUCCAAGGAGGAGACAUCUUAGAAUUGAUAUGUGGGGUGUUGAAGACAGUCUGUACCAUCUAGUGCCAAAAAAUUCCUCUCGCUUGGACCCAUUUUUUGAGUGCUCUUUUUUCCCCAAUUGCAUUUAUUUCGUUUCAAGCUUUG